UACGAAGGGGGCUAGCGUUGCUCGGAAUUACUGGGCGUAAAGGGCGCGUAGGCGGCACUGUUAGUCAGGCGAGAAAUUCCUGGGCUCAACCUGGGGACUGCGCUUGAUACGGCAGAGCUUGAGGAUGGAAGAGGGUCGCGGAAUUCCCAGUGUAGAGGUGAAAUUCGUAGAUAUUGGACUGGAACACCGGUGGCGAAAGCGGCUCUCUGGCCCGGUUCUGACGCUGAGG
rnacentral:rRNA from 1 species